CAGGUCAAGACUUUGGAGGCC
rnacentral:miRNA from 1 species